CCUACGGGAGGCAGCAGUCGAGAAUCAUUCACAAUGGGGGAAACCCUGAUGGUGCGACGCCGCGUGGGGGAAUGAAGGUCUUCGGAUUGUAAACCCCUGUCAUGUGGGAGCAAAUUAAAAAGAUAGUACCACAAGAGGAAGAGACGGCUAACUCUGUUCCAGCAGCCGCGUUAAUACAGAGGUCUCAAGCGUUGUUAGGAAUCCCUGGUCUUAAAGGGUGCGUAGGCUGUUUCGUAAGUCGUGUGUGAAAGGGCGGGGCUCAACCCGCGGACGGCACCUGAUACGGGGAGACUAGAGUAAGGGAGGGGGAACCGGAAUUCUCGGUGUAGCAGUGAAAUGCGUAGAUAUCGAGAGGAACACUCGUGGCGAAGGCGGGUUCCUGGACAUUAACUGACGCUGAGGCACGAAGGCCAGGGGAGCGAAAGGGAUUAGAUACCCUGGUAGUC
rnacentral:rRNA from 1 species